rnacentral:rRNA from 1 species
GUGGCAAACGGGUGAGUAACGCGUGGGAAUCUGCCUUUUGGUGGGGGAUAACUGAGGGAAACUUCAGCUAAUACCGCAUAAGCUUGGAAACAAGGAAAGAUUUAUUGCCAGAAGAUGAGCCCGCGUCAGAUUAGGUAGUUGGUAGGGUAAAGGCCUACCAAGCCUGUGAUCUGUAGCUGGUCUGAGAGGAUGAUCAGCCACACUGGGAUUGAGAUACGGCCCAGACUCCUACGGGAGGCAGCAGUGAGGAAUAUUGGACAAUGGGGGAAACCCUGAUCCAGCAAUGUCGCGUGAACGAUGAAGGCCUUCGGGUUGUAAAGUUCUUUCACUCAUGAAGAUAAUGACGGUAAUGAGAGAAGAAGCUCCGGCUAACUCUGUGCCAGCAGCCGCGGUAAUACAGAGGGAGCAAGCGUUGUUCGGAAUGACUGGGCGUAAAGGGUGCGUAGGUGGUUUCCUAAGCAAGGCGUCAAAGCCCUGGGCUCAACCCAGGAAUCGCGCUUUGAACUGGGAGGCUAGAGUGCGAGAGAGGAAAGUGGAAUUCAUAGUGUAGAGGUGAAAUUCGUAGAUAUUAUGAGGAAUACCAAAAGCGAAGGCAGCUUUCUGGCUCGUUACUGACGCUGAGGCACGAAAGCGUGGGGAGCAAACAGGAUUAGAUACCCUGGUAGUCCAC